rnacentral:rRNA from 1 species
GAUGAACGCUGGCGGCGUGCCUAAUACAUGCAAGUCGAGCGAACGGACGAGAAGCUUGCUUCUCUGAUGUUAGCGGCGGACGGGUGAGUAACACGUGGAUAACCUACCUAUAAGACUGGGAUAACUUCGGGAAACCGGUGCUAAUACCGGAUGAUAUUUUGAACCACAUGGUUCAAGAGUGAAAGACGGUCUUGCUUUCCCUUAUAGAUGUAUCCGCGCUGCAUUAGCUAGUUGGUAAGGUAACGGCUUACCAAGGCAACGAUGCAUAGCCGACCUGAGAGGGGGAUCGGCCACACUGGAACUGAGACACGGUCCAGCCUCCUACGGGAGGCAGCAGUAGGGAAUCUUCCGCAAUGGGCGAAAUCCUGACGGAGCAACGCCGCGUGAGUGAUGAAGGUCUUCGGAUCGUAAAACUCUGUUAUUAGGGAAGAACAUAUGUGUAAGUAACUGUGCACAUCUUGACGGUACCUAAUCAGAAAGCCACGGCUAACUACGUG